CUAACGCUACUUCCGUCCAGCCACAGACUCAAGCAAUGGGGACGGCUCGGUGAGAACCACGGAGAGGUGAAAUUCCUAUGG
rnacentral:ncRNA from 1 species